CCUACGGGUGGCAGCAGCGAGGAAUAUUGGUCAAUGGGCGCGAGCCUGAACCAGCCAAGUCGCGUGAAGGAUGACUGCCCUACGGGUUGUAAACUUCUUUUAUAAAGGAAUAAAGUGAGGCACGUGUGCCUUUUUGUGUGUACUUUAUGAAUAAGGAUCGGCUAACUCCGUGCCAGCAGCCGCGGUAAUACGGAGGAUCCGAGCGUUAUCCGGAUUUAUUGGGUUUAAAGGGAGCGUAGAUGGGUUGUUAAGUCAGUUGUGAAAGUUUGCGGCUCAACCGUAAAAUUGCAAUUGAUACUGGCAGCCUUGAGUACAGUUGAGGUAGGCGGAAUGCGUGGUGUAGCGGUGAAAUGCUUAGAUAUCACGAAGAACCCCGAUUGCGAAGGCAGCUUACUAAACUGCCACUGACACUGAUGCUCGAAAGUGUGGGUAUCAAACAGGAUUAGAUACCCGUGUAGUC
rnacentral:rRNA from 1 species